GACGUAGGGGGCGAGCGUUGUCCGGAUUUAUUGGGCGUAAAGAGCUCGUAGGCGGUGUGUCGCGUCGGCCGUGAAAACCUGCAGCUUAACUGUGGGCUUGCGGUCGAUACGGGCAUCACUGGAGUUCGGCAGGGGAGACUGGAAUUCCUGGUGUAGCGGUGAAAUGCGCAGAUAUCAGGAGGAACACCGGUGGCGAAGGCGGGUCUCUGGGACGGUACUGACGCUGAGACGCGAAAGCGUGGGGAGCGAACAGG
rnacentral:rRNA from 1 species